AGAGUUUGAUCAUGGCUCAGAUUGAACGCUGGCGGCAUGCUUUACACAUGCAAGUCGAACGGGGUUGGGAGCUUGCUUCCAAUCUAGUGGCGAACGGGUGAGUAAUACAUCGGAACGUACCGUGUAGUGGGGGAUAACGUAGCGAAAGUUACGCUAAUACCGCAUACGAUCCACGGAUGAAAGCAGGGGACCUUCGGGCCUUGUGCUAUACGAGCGGCCGAUGUCUGAUUAGCUAGUUGGUGAGGUAAAGGCUCACCAAGGCGACGAUCAGUAGCGGGUCUGAGAGGAUGAUCCGCCACACUGGGACUGAGACACGGCCCAGACUCCUACGGGAGGCAGCAGUGGGGAAUUUUGGACAAUGGGCGCAAGCCUGAUCCAGCCAUGCCGCGUGUCUGAAGAAGGCCUUCGGGUUGUAAAGGACUUUUGUCAGGGAGCAAAACUUACUGGUUAAUACCUGGUGAGGUUGAGAGUACCUGAAGAAUAAGCACCGGCUAACUACGUG
rnacentral:rRNA from 1 species